rnacentral:lncRNA from 1 species
CACACUGCUCAUGUCAGGGUCUUGUGGAGCUCAGGUGUCAGCAGGUGUCAGCAUGGGUGCAUCACGUGUUCCGCUGGGAGACCAGGCACGCUGCAUAGUCCCAGCCAUCUCUUUGUCUACCAGGCCCCGUCCUAGGAUCCACACUGGGCUGUCGAUGACUGUGAUUCUACUGGGGUCGAGGAAUGUGAAUGAGCUCAGCAUAGCUACCCACCUGGCCUCCGUUGCCCUUGUGUUCAGUGAGGGGACAUCAGCCUGGCUGUGAAGGCCCUUCCUGGGUGAUUCUAGAAGUGGCUGAGGGGUGGGUUGUUGCUGGGCUGGUUCCAUCCAUCCCUGAGGGCAGGUUCUCCCACAAACAGGGCACAGCUCACUGGGAUGACAGAAAGCAAUCUUCGGCCAAGCAGGGAAAUAAAGGAGCUGGGAUGGUUUACAGCUAUGCUUAAACUUCCGGGCAUCCAGCCGAGUGAGGUGGCUCAGGCCUGUAAUCCCAGGAGUUUGGGAGGCUGAGGCAGGUGGAUCGCUUGAGUCCAGGAGUUAGAUACCAGCCUAGGCAAUACGGGCAAAACCGCAUCUCUGAAAAAAAUACAAAAAUUAGCUGGGCGUGGUGGCAUGCCCCUGAAGACCCACCUACUUGGGAGGCUGAGGUGGGAGGAUCACUUGAGCCUGGGAGGCAGAGGUUGCAGAGAGCCAUGGUUGCGCUACUGCACUCCAGCUUGGGUGCGAGUGAGACCCUGCCUCAAAAAACAAACAAACAAACCAAAAAAACCUGAGAAGAAAAAAAUCUUCCAGGUAUUCACCUGUGUACCAAAGUUCAGCAGGCGAUGCUGUCCCCAUCAGUAUCCUCAGGGGCUAGCCUCUGCACCAGGUCCUGGUUCUGCCAUCCACAGCUUUGUGAGCAGGACUUGAGCCCAGGGGUUACUGCCUGGUGACCUUGGCAAGGGAGGAGCCCUCUAUGGUCUCCAGUGUUGCCAUCAGCAGAUGAGAGGUGACGGGUGCCCAAGCGCUGGCUUGCAGCUGCCACGAUGAAGGAUUGGCAUGCCUGCCCCCUGUUUCCUCCCCAGGUCUGCACAGCUCCCCCGCCUCGGCUGCGAGCUUGCCUCAGAGUUCUCAGGGCCUAGGAUGUUGGGGGUGCCCCUCAGCCCUGGGGGCCCUGUGGGUUCCACCUCUGUACAGAUUCAGGAAGGAUUUGAAGCCAGCAGAGAGAAGGUUUCAGGACAAUGGAAAACUCAGCCCAUGCACCCCAAGGAAGCCCUUGCUCUAUAAGCUCACUUGUCACUGCAUUUUGGAGUCCACGAUAGAUGGCACAUAACUGACUGAGCCCUUGGCAAGCUGUGCACUUCAUCCCCGUCUGAGAAGAGCAGCUCUUCUCUGCAGCCUCCAUCAGGCGGACACUCAGCUUUGCCUGGAAAACCAUGAGGGGCAGGAACUGCGACUUCUCAAGACCCCUUCCCCUUGGGGACAACCUUAGCUGUGUCCUGACCUGGCCUUUCCCGCAGAGUCCUUAGAAUGAGCAGGAAUCCACAUCCUAGUGUCCUGGUGUGACCCCUGCCCUGUGACUCCUCUUCAUAUGGUCCAAGGAAAAAUGGCAGAAACAAUGAACAAUAAAUGAUCUGUCGACAAACCGAAAGGCAUUUCUUUGUCAGCAAACACCAUCGAAAGAUGUAGAGAAAACACUGCCGAAGAUUGGAAGAAACUCAUGUUAGAGCAAAUUACCCAGUGUGGGAGGUUUGCUUUGCAGUGUGCUGAAAGCACAGAUGUUCCCAACAUGGCUCAGCUGAAGACACAGAUUUUCGCUAUGCUUCCCAGGCUGGAGUCCUAUGGCUAUUCACAAGUGGGAUCAUGGUCCUCCAAUAUUUUUGUGACAGCUACUAAAACCCAGAAUUAAAAAAGAACUACCCUGAGAGUCAGGCCUUCAAACUGAUGUUUUACAAUUUUAUUUCAAGGUUUUAGUAAAUAAGAAAGCAUAUUGAAUGAUGUUACUAUUUCUUGCAAAAGCAAGAUGCUUUUUUGCACCUUUGUAAAUGUACAAAUAAAUUUGUAAUACUGCAAAAUUUGCUGGAAAAUGUGGUUGAUUUCACCUUUAUUCUUUUCAAUGUUCUCUUGGAGCAGGUGUGUACUCACUAAGUAUGGCUGUAUUGGGAUGGGCGCUCCAGAAUACUUUCAGAGGGAGGUCAGAAACACCUGGAGUCAGCUCCUUCCCCAGCUUUCACCUGAGCCUGCCACCACCCCCACCCUCUGCCCAAAAGACCAGACCCUUCUCCUGGCAGCAGCCAGAGUGCUUAUUUCCCAACCAGGGCAGGUCACAGCCCUCCUCAAAGACCUCCAACCACACCCCUCUAACCAGACUUCACAGUCCCCCAUGCACACCCCACUCUCCUGACCCCUCAGGCUUUCCCCACUCUGCCCACCCACCCCCACCCCUCUGAUCCAGCCCUUGGCCUCCCAGAGCACCUGCUGACACUGCCCCAGGGCGUUUGCACUGCUGUGCUGCCUUGCUCAAGCCCCCACUCUGUUCAAGUCUCUUGCUCAAUCAUCUGCCCCUCAGCAGUACCUCCUGGCCUGCGUUAUCCACCUCUCCAGAUACUGUGCCCACACUCACUCAUGAUUUUUCUCCUAGGAAGUAGUACUGGCAUUACAUUGUCUAACACCUUUUAUUAUUGCUUUGUCUCCUAGGAGAAUGGAGACCUUG